GACGAACGCUGGCGGCGUGCUUAACACAUGCAAGUCGAACGGAAAGGCCCUUCGGGGUACUCGAGUGGCGAACGGGUGAGUAACACGUGGGUGAUCUGCCCUGCACUUCGGGAUAAGCCUGGGAAACUGGGUCUAAUACCGGAUAGGACCACACGUUUCAUGGUGUGUGGUGGAAAGCUUUUGCGGUGUGGGAUGGGCCCGCGGCCUAUCAGCUUGUUGGUGGGGUAAUGGCCUACCAAGGCGUCGACGGGUAGCCGGCCUGAGAGGGUGUCCGGCCACACUGGGACUGAGAUACGGCCCAGACUCCUACGGGAGGCAGCAGUGGGGAAUAUUGCACAAUGGGCGCAAGCCUGAUGCAGCGACGCCGCGUGGGGGAUGACGGCCUUCGGGUUGUAAACCUCUUUCAGCACAGACGAAGCGCAAGUGACGGUAUGUGCAGAAGAAGCACCGGCCAACUACGUGCCAGCCGCCGCGGUAAAAC
rnacentral:rRNA from 1 species